CCCAUGACCACGGGAUAACCCGUUGAAAGACGGCCUAAUACCGUAUGACGUCGUUUGCCGACAUCGAAAAGACGACCAAAGGUUUGGCGGUGAUGGAUGGGGAUGCGUCUGAUUAGCUUGGUUGGCGGGUAACGGCCCACCAAGGCGACGAUCAGUAGGGGUUCUGAGAGGAAGGUCCCCCACAUUGGAACUGAGACACGGUCCAAACUCCUACGGGAGGCAGCAGUGAGGAAUAUUGGUCAAUGGGCGAGAGCCUGAACCAGCCAAGUAGCGUGCAGGAUGACGGCCCUAUGGGUUGUAAACUGCUUUUACGCGGGGAUAAAGUGCGUGACGUGUCUCGCAUUGCAGGUACCGCGUGAAUAAGGACCGGCUAAUUCCGUGCCAGCAGCCGCGGUAAAU
rnacentral:rRNA from 1 species